rnacentral:rRNA from 1 species
UACGUAGGUGGCAAGCGUUGUCCGGAAUUAUUGGGCGUAAAGCGCGCGCAGGCGGAUCUGCCAGUCUGUCUUAAAAGUUCGGGGCUCAACCCCGUGAUGGGAUGGAAACUACAGAUCUAGAGUAUCGGAGGGGAAAGUGGAAUUCCUAGUGUAGCGGUGAAAUGCGUAGAUAUUAGGAGGAACACCAGUGGCGAAGGCGACUUUCUGGACGAUCACUGACGCUGAGGCGCGAAAGCCAGGGGAGCGAACGGG